UACGGGGGGGGCAAGCGUUGUUCGGAAUUACUGGGCGUAAAGGGCUCGUAGGUGGCCAACUAAGUCAGACGUGAAAUCCCUCGGCUUAACCGGGGAACUGCGUCUGAUACUGGAUGGCUUGAGUUUGGGAGAGGGAUGCGGAAUUCCAGGUGUAGCGGUAGAAAUGCGUAGAUAUCUGGAGGAACACCGGUGGCGAAGGCGGGUCUCUGGGCCGUAACUGACGCUGAGGAGCGAAAGCAUGGGGAGCGAAC
rnacentral:rRNA from 1 species